GGCCCCCGCGACCCGUUGUGUAUACCCGACGUACAGCCAAUAGUGCAGCAAUGAACCGGUUGUAUUAUAUUCGAAAAGUGAACGGAAACAGUGUUCACCACCAAGUUACACUAGUUACAGACGUAGAUGUCCUGCCGGCGUGUACCUUCCACAGCCUGAUGUUCAAACUAUAACAUUCCCGUUUCUCUUUUGCAGGGAUAUGUUUUUGAUUGGGGGGGAUUAUUUCACCAUAUUUUUAUUUCCACGUCUUGCCACAACUGCCGCUUGCCAGCGCUGAGUGCGCCCUGCCGCCCUGUCGGCACUCUGCCGUCGCUUUGUUAUUUAUUGUGGUACAGGACACAGGUAUGUGAGUGACGACUGUGAAGUGUGAGCUGCUUCUUGCCUGCGGCUGGCCGCCUCCGUACUCUUUUUCGGACCAUGUGUUUUUUCAAGUCGCUUGAAUUUGCAGUGUUUUCUUUUUCUUUCCAGUUUUUAAAUAUUAAUGAUCGUUGUAUUUACAAUAAUUACGGUAUUAUAUUAUUACGUUUAAAAUAAUAAUUAACGCAGACUACACUAGUUACCUGGUACAAUUUAUUGCAUCGUAGUUUUCAACAUCGUCAAUCAUGCAUUUCAGUCAUCAGUUUUCUCGAUUCAAAUGGAUGAAAUCGCCCGAUUUGGAUCUAGAGCUAUAUAGAAGUCUUGACCAUAAUAUGCGAUAAUAUGGCUCUAAUGGACCAUUCUGGUUAUCUCGGUGUGCUGCUUAUACUGCCUGGACGAUUCUGCUUUACAGGAUUUCAGUCAUCAGUUUUCUCGAUUCAAAUGGAAAAAUUCGCCCUGUUUUGGAUCUAGAGCUAUAUUGAAGUCUUAACCAUAAUAUGGUUCUAACGGACAUCCAUUCCGGUUCUCUCGCUGUACUGCUUAUUGUGCCUGAACGAUUUUGAUUCACAGGUAAGCAGUUAUUACUAUUUAUUAUUCAUUAGGUAUACCUAUUGAAUAGAUUGUUGAUUGUUAAAUGUAUUUAUUUAGGUAUUUAAAACUAUACUCGGGCUGUUGUAAGAGCUUCCAACUGAUUGAGUUCCGUGGUAUCAUACCCAAAUAUCUACCAUCUAGUUUCUAACAUAAAUACCCCCACUCAGUACACCGCAACCGGCGGAUAAUUCCUUGACGGCGACGGUUUAGUGGUGGGAAUGCGCAAAAACGGACAAAAUUUAGUCGCUGUUCAGAAGCCCUCUUACAACAGCCCGAGUAUAGUUACACACAUUAGAAUUUUAAACUUUAAUACCAAUUUACUAUUUUAGUAUUAUUUUAUAGUUUAUUUAAAUUAAAAUAACCAUUACAACUAUUCUAGUUAUCAGAUAUAACUUUUGAAAAUACAUUUGUAUUUGUUGUGAAGUUUACUUGAAAACUACUUUUUCACUUUUUUAAAAUUAGAUUUUUUAAUUUUGAAUAUUAAGAAUUUUAAUAUGUUAAUAAUAUUGAAGUGGAAAAGAUAAAUAAAUUUUAAUCUGUAUGUACCUGAGUAGCUUACAAGUAUAUUUUAUGAUAAAUUAAAAUAUUAUAUUUACAAAAAUGUCAUCGGAUAAAUAGGUUAGUUAAUAUGAUUGGUAAAAUAUUGAUAUUUUUGACCAAAAAAACUAGUAAUUUGAAAAUGUUUAUGCAAUAUAUAUGUAUUUAUUUCCUCUUUACUUAUAUAUGAUUUACAAAUUAUAUAAUAUUAUAUUGUGUACACACUCUAAAUUACUACCUACCUUUUUAUAUGUGCAUAUUAUGUACUCACACAUAAGUAUAUAAGCCGACACUGUUUAUUUAACAACAGCUGUUAGGGUAUAAUAAUAUAUAUUGUAAUAUAAACAUCUGUGUGACUGUAUAUACAAUAUUAUAGUAUAUAUUAUUAUGUUAAUGGUUAUGAUGAUGACACUAUUUUUAGAAUAAUCUAUUUAUAAAGAGUUGCUAUUAUUACAAAACAAAAUUAUUAAUAUUUAUGUAAUGCAUUGUUAACAUGUACUUGCAUGUUCAGGAGCACUCCGCUAUUUAUUUUAUACACUGGAACUUAUACAAAUAUCUAGUUGUUUUUAGUUGGUAUACAGCAUUACAGCAUAAUCCUGCUGCUCUCUAUCUACCUACAUCGAGGUGGCACAGAUUCAAAACGUUUUAUCUUUUAAUAGGGGCUGCUCAAAUUAUAGCAACAAAUAGGUACUGAUGAAACUUCGUUCGUUAAACCAACAACUUUACCACCAAUAUUCCCUAACAAUAAUAUAAUAUUAAUUUAGUAACUAAUUUUCAAGAUCGGCAUCUAUACAAUUAAAAUAAAUCAUUUAUUAUAUCAAUUGAUAUUUAUUUUUAUUAAAUUAUUGAUACCAUUGGAAGCAAAUACUGCUAUAUGCAAAGUAAAGUGUCAGCUAUGCUUAUCACACCAGUACUAAACCAUGGUUUGCUUUUUCAGAACUAUUAGUUUUAUUAUUUAUUUUAUUCCUAGAAUUUUCCAAUCCAGUAUAAUAUAUUAAGGUUGUGGUAUUAACAUUUAUGCUUUCUCUUAAGAAAUAUUUCAUUCAAAAACGGUAUUCCAACUUUCUGACCAUCAGACUUCUUUAAAAAAAUGUUUUCAAUACUUUAAAAAAGUUAAGAUCAAAUAUUCAACUAACUUAAACAACUAACUCGUGGCAAAGGCAGUAUAUUUUACAAACAUAGUUCUUACUAAUACAGGGCUGAUUUGAAAUAAGAGACAUAAAAGGAUAUAAUUUUUAUUCUAUUUCCUAUUUUUAAAAUUUUUCAACCUUGCUGUUUAAAAUAUUACUUGAAUGAGUUCUGAUGGACACUUAUAAAUUCCAGCAUUUACCAAUAUUUCUGAAAGGUUUGAAUCACUAGUUUUUUCAUUUCAUUUUUACAGUUAAAGAUUUAUUUUUUGCCCUGCAACACUUCUUCAAUAAUAUUUUCUUAGCCUUUAGAAUAUUAUUUAGUGCGAGAUUUAGUGUCUUUCUUGUUGAUAAAAAAAAAAGUUCUUUUCAAUUUUCCAUUUGAAAAAUUGUGUUUCCUUCUUUUUAAUACAAAACAGUAGCCACUUGCACCAUACACACUUAUCACUAAACAAGUUUAUUAUGUAACAUAGCUUUGAGUAUAUUUGAUAUUUUGAUUAAUAUUUUAUAAUAGUAUUACUGAUAUGUAUAAAGUGUAAUAUUUUAAAAUUAAAAUUACCUUUUAGUCUUUGUAAGAUGUUUAAACAGUUGUUAUGAUGCCAUUUACUACAGCUAUCCACAUACAGUUUGUUUCCAGGUACUAAAUUUAUAGU